UCGGGCGUGGCGUAUGGUACACCGCGAGCGUUACUUUGGUACUGCUGGAAUGACGUUGAAACUCGCCGACCGGGGUUCGAUUCCCCGCGUCUGAA